rnacentral:rRNA from 1 species
AAUUCGACGGGGCCCGCACAAGCGGUGGAGCAUGUGUUUAAUUCGAAGCAACGCGAAGAACCUUACCAGGUCUUGACAUCCCCUGACAACCCGAGAGAUCGGGCGUUCCCCCUUCGGGGGACAGGGUGACAGGUGGUGCAUGGUUGUCGUCAGCUCGUGUCGUGAGAUGUUGGGUUAAGUCCCGCAACGAGCGCAACCCUCGACCUUAGUUGCCAGCAUUCAGUUGGGCACUCUAAGGUGACUGCCGGCUAAAAGUCGGAGGAAGGUGGGGAUGACGUCAAAUCAUCAUGCCCCUUAUGACCUGGGCUACACACGUGCUACAAUGGGCGGUACAAAGGGUCGCGAACCCGCGAGGGGGAGCCAAUCCCAAAAAGCCGCUCUCAGUUCGGAUUGCAGGCUGCAACUCGACUCCAUGAAGUUGGAAUCGCUAGUAAUCGUAGAUCAGCACGCUACGGUGAAUACGUUCCCGGGCCUU